rnacentral:rRNA from 1 species
GGGUUGUGAGGUUAAGCGACUAAGCGUACACGGUGGAUGCCCUGGCAGUCAGAGGCGAUGAAGGGCGUGCUAAUCUGCGAUAAGCGCCGGUAAGGUGAUAUGAACCGUUAUAACCGGCGAUACCCGAAUGGGGAAACCCAGUGUGAUUCGUCACACUAUCAUUAACUGAAUCCAUAGGUUAAUGAGGCGAACCGGGGGAACUGAAACAUCUAAGUACCCCGAGGAAAAGAAAUCAACCGAGAUUCCCCCAGUAGCGGCGAGCGAACGGGGAGGAGCCCAGAGCCUGAAUCAGCAUGUGUGUUAGUGGAAGCGUCUGGAAAGGCGCGCGAUACAGGGUGACAGCCCCGUACACAAAAGCGCAUGUGCUGUGAGCUCGAUGAGUAGGGCGGGACACGUGGUAUCCUGUCUGAAUAUGGGGGGACCAUCCUCCAAGGCUAAAUACUCCUGACUGACCGAUAGUGAACCAGUACCGUGAGGGAAAGGCGAAAAGAACCCCGGCGAGGGGAGUGAAAAAGAACCUGAAACCGUGUACGUACAAGCAGUGGGAGCACCCUUUGGGGUGUGACUGCGUACCUUUUGUAUAAUGGGUCAGCG